UACGUAGGGGGCAAGCGUUGUCCGGAAUCAUUGGGCGUAAAGCGCGUGUAGGCGGCCCGGUAAGUCCGCUGUGAAAGUCCAGGGCUCAACCCUGGGAUGCCGGUGGAUACUGUCGGGCUCGAGUCCGGAAGAGGAGUGUGGAAUUCCUGGUGUAGCGGUGAAAUGCGCAUAUAUCAGGAGGAACACCAAUGGCGAAGGCAGCACUCUGGGACGUGACUGACGCUGAGACGCGAAAGCGUGGGGAGCAAACAGG
rnacentral:rRNA from 1 species